rnacentral:piRNA from 1 species
UAGAAUUGAAUAUCCAGAAAUGAAUCC